rnacentral:rRNA from 1 species
GAUGAACGCUAGCGGGAGGCCUAACACAUGCAAGCCGAGCGGUAGAAUCUUUUCGGAGAUUUGAGAGCGGCGUACGGGUGAGGAACACGUGUGCAACCUGCCUUUAUCUGGGAGAUAGCCUUUCGAAAGGAAGAUUAAUAUCCCAUAAUAUAUUGAGUGGCAUCACUUAAUAUUGAAAGCUCCGGCGGAUAGAGAUGGGCACGCGCAAGAUUAGAUAGUUGGUGAGGUAACGGCUCACCAAGUCUACGAUCUUUAGGGGGCCUGAGAGGGUGAUCCCCCACACUGGUACUGAGACACGGACCAGACUCCUACGGGAGGCAGCAGUGAGGAAUAUUGGACAAUGGGUGCAAGCCUGAUCCAGCCAUCCCGCGUGAAGGAUUAAGGUCCUAUGGAUUGUAAACUUCUUUUAUACAGGGAUAAACCUCUCCUCGUGAGGAGAGCUGAAGGUACUGUAUGAAUAAGCACCGGCUAACUCCGUGCCAGCCGCCGCGGUAAUAC